AGUGAACGCUGGCGGUAGGCCUAACACAUGCAAGUCGAACGGCAGCACAGUAAGAGCUUGCUCUUACGGGUGGCGAGUGGCGGACGGGUGAGGAAUACAUCGGAAUCUACUUUUUCGUGGGGGUUAACGUAGGGAAACUUACGCUAAUACCGCAUACGACCUAAGGGUGAAAGCAGUGUAUCUUUGGUCCUUGCGCGAUUGAAUGAGCCGAUGUCGGAUUAGCUAGUUGGCGGGGUAAAGGCCCACCAAGGCAACGAUCCGUAUCUGGUCUGAUGGGAUGAUCAGCCACACUGGAACUGAGACACGGUCCAGACUCCUACGGGAGGCAGCAGUGGGGAAUAUUGGACAAUGGGCGCAAGCCUGAUCCAGCCAUACCGCGUGGGUGAAGAAGGCCUUCGGGUUGUAAAGCCCUUUUGUUGGGAAAGAAAAGCAGCAGGUUAAUACCCCGCUGUUCUGACGGUACCCAAAGAAUAAGCACCGGCUAACUUCGUG
rnacentral:rRNA from 1 species